rnacentral:rRNA from 1 species
GACGAACGCUGGCGGCGUGCUUAACACAUGCAAGUCGAGCGACUGCAUUCUUUUCGGAGGGUGUAUGGAGCGGCGAACGGGUGAGUAACACGUGAGUAAUCUGCCUUUGGCUUGGGAAUAACUUCGGGAAAUCGGGGCUAAUGCCUGAUGUUUACUGUCUGCUGCAUGGUGGGUGGUGGAAAGAUUUUUGUCGACGGAGUGAGC